rnacentral:rRNA from 1 species
UACGUAGGGGGCAAGCGUUGUCCGGAAUCAUUGGGCGUAAAGAGCGUGUAGGCGGCUCGAUAAGUCCGCUGUGAAAGUCCAGGGCUCAACCCUGGAAGGCCGGUGGAAACUGUCGGGCUAGAGUCCGGAAGAGGCGAGUGGAAUUCCCGGUGUAGCGGUGAAAUGCGCAGAUAUCGGGAGGAACACCAAUGGCGAAGGCAGCUCGCUGGGACGGUACUGACGCUGAGACGCGAAAGCGUGGGGAGCAAACAGGAGUUAGAA